GGCCCAGUGGCGGAUGGUCUGCGUCUGCUGAACUUAUCGAAAUUGUCAGGUACAUAUGCAGAAGACGCUCGUUCGACUCGAGCCUGGGCCA